GCCCGCUUGGCGGAACAGGUAGACGCACGGGACUUAAAAUCCCGAGGCUGUAUGCCGUGCCGGUUCGAGUCCGGCAGCGGGCACCA
rnacentral:tRNA from 1 species